CACACAGCCCUGCCCACCCGCGCAUGCGCUGCCUGCGGACUGGGAGUAGGCGGGGCCACCGGCCAAGCCUAAAAAUUACUAUUAGACCACUCGGCUGCCCAUCACACUGCGUGAGCCCAAUAGCAAGACUUUCUGGCUGUUGGCUCCGGUUGCUAGGGAACGAUGAGGUUGACCGCCACUGCUGCCAGGCGGCAAAGUGAUCAAAGUCGGGUGGCUGGCAACAGCUGCUGGGGAAAUGCCCACCCACCUUCUCCUAUCCGCCCCAUCUCCGGAAGCCGCCCAUCCUCCGUGCGCCUGGUGCUUACCUAAGUCGGAGCACUCACUACACAUUGACAAAAUGUGCUCUUGUGUUUCGCUUCCAACCAAGAAAUGAGGUCUUCUUAGUAUCCAAGGUGGAGCGAAUGCUAGGUACUCAACAAGUGCGUUGGAUGGGUGAAUGGCCCGUUGGCCGGAUGAAAAUUAUCGCAGCGUAUCUUGUGACUUUGAGCUACUCCAUCACCACAAAACCAUUGCCUUUGAGUUGCCAUGGGCUUCAGAAAGCGGCUUCGGAAAAACAAAGUAUGGACAAUGUGCCCAACGGUGACCAAGAGAGUAUAUUAAUUGGAGUGGACUGAAAAGACCUGCUCUCCAGGAAUCCUCCAGGACUUCAGCACCAGACUGGAGCAGCAGAGGCAUCCAGCCUCAUGUUCUGGGCAGCUGCUGGGUUCUCAGACAUCACAGCAUGUAGACAGUCAUUGUCAGGCUAGCCCAGCUACAUUAGGUGAACUAAGCUAAUAAACUCCCCUGGUAAUAUUG